CAGAUUCACCUGUCCGGCUCAGUGAGCCUCCGCACGUCAGUAGCCGGUUUAGAACUGAGGAGCGUUCCCAUCUGUCAUGUCCGCCGGGAGCAAACGGCUAACUCUCCUUUUCUCUGCACAGGGUGAGAAGAAGGUAAAGACGACAGUGCUGACCGCCGCACUGUUGCUGUCCGGGAUUCCGGCUGAGGUGAUAAACCGGUCCAUGGACACCUAUAGCAAGAUGGGUGAGGUCUUCACGGACCUCUGCGUCUACUUCUUCACCUUCAUAUUCUGCCACGAAGUGCUUGAGUACUGGGGUCCGGAAGUGCCCUGAAACCUGAGGAACUUGGAAGUUUACGAGUGAAAACUACUUCCCUUCUACACUGCAGUGUCUCUAAAGGGGGCAAAUCGGUUUAUAACUUCAUCAAAUUCUUUGGCUUUACAGAAAACCCAGUUAAUCGUUUCCCCGAUUUAAAAGGGUUGAAUUUCUAUCAGUCCAGGUCUGAGUUACCACAUAGGGUAACAAUGGCAUUAACAAUUUUUCUUGUUUAAUUAGAAGUCCAGCCUUACACCUCUCCCCUAAUGUCUGAGAUUUGUGACCCCCCUUACAGGCCCAGGCUGGUACUUGUAAGGGACCAGACGGACAGGUCUCAGCUGGCCUAAAGGCCUAAACCUUGUAUUUGUGUCAUUCCUUCCUGAGAAAUGAAACCAUCCUAAAAAUAAAGCAAAUGGAACUGAAUUGUCUAAUAGU
rnacentral:lncRNA from 1 species